GCUAGCUUGUGUCACUUAAACUCCUAAUUUGAUUUAAUUUCACGGGUGUUUACAGAGCCCCUACUGUGUGCAAAGAAAUGAACUGAGCUCUCUGGCCUCACACCCUAAGCCCAACCCUGAUCCACUAAGCACUGGCAGCUUCAGGCCCACCACUGCUGGCCUCCCAUCUCUUUCUCCAAGCAACGGUGCCUGUGUGUUGAGCACUUCCAGACAAACACGCCUGCCAUGAUGGACCACAUUUCUGUGCAGAUGCUGAGUACACACCGUCUCCCACUCCCACGGCUGCUUUGCAAGGACAGUGUUAAUGAUCCUCACUUUGUAAACAAGGAAAACUGAAGCUCAGAAAGGAGGGAUGGAGGGCGGUAAGGUUGGGCAUCCUACACAUAUGGUGAUAUCAUUGAACAUUUUGUGUUGAAGAAUGAUGGAGUGUUGAACACAGAAUCAGAGAAUUUUACUUUAUUUUAUUUUUUGAGAAGGAGUCUCAAUCUGUCAACCAGGCUGGAGUGCAGUGGCGCGAUCUCGGCUCAGGGCAACUUCCACCUCCUGGGUUCAAGGGAUCCUCCUGCCUCAGCCUCCCGAGUCGCAGGGAUCACAGGCAUGUACUACCAGGCCCGGCUAAUUGUUUUGUGUUUUUGGUGGAGACGGGGUUUCACAAUGUUGGCCAGGCUGGUCUCAAACUCCUGACCUCAAGUGAUCUGCCCACCUUGGCCUCGCAAAGUACUGGGAUUACAGGCAUGAGCCACUGUGCCUGGCCAAGAAUUUUAGAAUCAUAAAAUCUAGGAGUCCUGGGCUCCUAGGUUACCAGUAUAACCCACACUGCCACCAACUCCCUGUCCAUUCCCCACACUGUAAAUGAAAUGUCUCUCUGGGGCCCACCUCCCAUUCACUCAGGCCUCUUCUCUCACCUGGGAUCUUGUUCCAGACUUGUCUCUUGUCUCUCCUCCUUCCAAACCCGUACACAGGAGCCAGAGGCAUCUUUCCAAACUACCAAGCAGAUUGUGCCACUCUGCUGCCCCUUAAAACCCUUCCCUGGCUCCCCUUUGCCCUCAGGAUAAAGUUCAAACUCCUUGACAUGGUUUACUAGGUUCUCAGUCAUCUGGCCACAGUCUGGCCACUCUGCCUUCUACCGCCC
rnacentral:lncRNA from 10 species